GGUCUUAGAUGUGUUUGGUUACCACUUGCACAGUUGCACUUUCCCAAUGGAAUCAAUUCAAACUUUUCACUUAUGGUGAUACAUCCUUUAUAGGACGAGGCUAAAAUUCUUCAGUUGGAGAUUAUUAUUAUCUUGGUCUUACUUUGGGAGAUUUAGUUGGGAGGAGGAGAAACAUUUCAAGUUCUUCGGGUUCACUUUUGACUAGUUUGCAAGUAUUUGAAGAAUCUGUGGACCAAGAGAUUGAUCAAGUCCAUUUAUGUGUUAGUUUGAUUAGAUUAGGCCACUCAUACAUGUAUUACAGUUAAUUUAUUUAUUGGAUUACUGUAAAACCUUUACCAACAUGUGAUUUAAAUUUUUUCUUAUCAAUAUAAAGAUCUUUGUAAACAUAUGUAGGUAAUGUUGAAUCAUGAAUUUUUUUUACAGUAGAAAAAUAUCGAAAUAAGUAAAUAUAUAACAGAAAAAUACGUGUUGCGAACAAAAAAGUAGUGACGCUAAAAAGUGUUGACGUAUAAGCAUUUAUUACACAAGAACUGUGUUGUAAGAGCACAUUUCUUGACAAGAAUUAUGUGUAAUAAAACGUUAAAACAUGACUCAAAAUAAGUGUCGUCAAUAAUAAAAAAAAAAUGACAUGAAUAAACAGAUUACCACAUGAACAAUGACAUUUUUUAUGUCGAGUUAUAGAUAACGGUGACACAUUUAAAGCAUAAAUAUAAGGGUAUUAAUGACAAUAUAUUGGUGUCAUCUACGCAUAUUUAACGACACUUUUUCUGAAGUGUCGUUAAAUAGGUUAUCUUGACAGAUGGCUUCAAUGUCGUUGAAACUCUUUAUGACACAAAUUUUGCAUCUAACCUAUCUCUUUAGUCUUUCCUCUUUGAAUUUACUCUUUUUUUCUCUAUACCUUCAUCUAACCUACUUUCUCAAGAAAACACCUCUCCUCUCUCACGAAGAAGAUCGCCGUUGUCUCAGUCUCGUCGUCCCCUCUGUUCGCCGUCACAGCCUGCUAGUCCGCCGCACGUUUUGCACGGCACCGCUGUCAGAUUCAAGUAUCUCUUUCUCUCUGCUACUCAGAGGUACAGAGUGAUACACCCUUCUCCUUUCCCUUUCAAGUGAGAUAAAAUGGGUGAGAGGAAGGUGCUUAACAAAUACUACCCACCGGAUUUUGAUCCGUCAAAGCUACCAAGGGUUCGUAGACCCAAAAACCAGCAAAUGAAGGUUCGUAUGAUGCUUCCUAUGAGCAUCCGGUGCAAUACUUGUGGUAAUUGCAUAUACAAGGGCACAAAGUUCAAUUCUCGCAAGGAGGACGUCAUUGGUGAGACAUAUUUGGGAAUUCAAAUUUUUAGGUUCUACUUCAAGUGUACCAGAUGUUCUGCUGAGCUUACCAUUAAAACAGACCCCCAAAACUCAGGAGCCACACGUAAUUUUGAACCAUGGGGUGAGGAAGAUGAAGCUUCUGAGAAGGAGAAACACAAAAGGAAUGCGGAAGAGAUGGGGGACCCAAUGAAAUCUUUGGAGAAUAGAACCUUGGAUUCCAAACGCGAGAUGGACAUUCUUGCUGCUUUGGAUGAGAUGAAGUCUAUGAAGUUGAGACACGCAACUGUGAGUAUUGAUUCAAUGCUUGUGGCUUUGCAACGAACUGCUGCUUGAAAGGAAAAGAAGUUAGAAGAAGAAGAUGAAGCACUGAUAAAAUCAAUAGUCUUCAAUAACUCAACAGUUAUGUUAGAAGAAUUUCAGAUGAUGAAUUUGAUGAUGGUAGUCAUUCUGUUCAGCAUUUGACCAACAAUGAUAUAGCAUCGGACUUUAAAGCAAAGAAGCAAAGGGUUCCUGAAGGAUCUCCUCAUGAUCCUACCAGUACUUCAACAAAAGCUGGUUUUCUCCAUAGCCGCAUGGGUGAAGGUGAAAAUGGCAAUGUUGGGACGUCUACUGAUACGAAAUUUGUUUUGAAAUCUUUUCCGGUUAUAGUUUCUAAAAAAAAAAAACCAGAAGUGACUGCUCGGGUGGAGAAUAAACAGAGCUUGCAACUUCAAAGUAAUUAUACCAAAACUGGACUUGAGUCAUUGUGCCAAUACGACAGUGACGAGGAUUGAUAUGUUAUAUCAUAUUGUGUUUACGAACUUUAAUUUGAUGUAAAAAAGUAAUAUAAAAUUGUUAUUAUUAACUUCUUUUUUUUUUUGGGUAAAGUAUUGAUGGCAUUGUCCCCCAGGGAAUAUAAUACUAAAAAUGUUAGCAUGAAUUUUUUUUACCUUUAAACAACUCAUUUAUUUUGCCA